rnacentral:rRNA from 1 species
AUUGAACGCUGGCGGCAGGCCUAACACAUGCAAGUCGAACGAGUGGCGGACUGGUGAGUAGUGUCUGGGAACCUGCCCGAUGUAGGGGGAUAACUACUGGAAACGUUAGCUAAUACCGCAUACCAUCGGAUGUGCCCAGAGGGGAUUAGCUAGUAGGUGGGGUAACGGCUCACCGAGGCGACGCUCCCUAGCUGGUCUGAGAGGAUGACCGGCCACACUGGGACUGAGACACGGUCCAGACUCCUACGGGAGGCAGCAGUGGGGAAUAUUGCACAAUGGGCGAAAGUCUGAUGCAGCCAUGCCGCGUGUGUGAAGAAGGCAUUCGGGUUGUAAAGUACUUUCAGCGAGGAGGCGUUACUCGCAGAAGAAGCACCGGCUAACUCCGUGCCAGCAGCCGCGGUAAUUC